rnacentral:ribozyme from 14 species
AUACAGCAAAUAAUAAUACUAGAUUGGAAAGGUUUGACCAACAUAAAUCGAAUGGAGGAGGAGGAAAAGGAUUCUAGCAAAUGUGUAAUGCGAUGUAUGUAAAUGUAUGUACGUGUAUGUAUGUAUGUUAUUUUUUCUUUUGUUUUGCAUUAGUUUUAU